GAAGGCCGGGGGCUUAGUGUCUGGGGGGGUUGGGGACGAGGAGGGGGCGGAGCGGCAACUGCGGAGGGGGAGACCACGGAGCGGGCGCGGCCGUAACCCGCGCAGGGCCUCUUCCAGAGGGGCAGGCACAACCAACACUGAGAUGAGUUAAUAACAAGAACCCGGCCUGGGCAGUCUAUGUCCUCGGAAGGAGAAUCGCUAUAGUUGGCCCAGAAGAGCGAACGACUCAACCUACGCAAAGUACGUGCAAACGUCACUGCUUUUCUAGGGGCAAAAAAUAACUAUUCUCCCAACCAACUCACAAGAGACAAAGUAAGAAGUCAGGCCGUGAGAUGAAGACAACAACCAUCAAACAUCAAACUGUUGUUCUGACUGUCCUUCAGAACAAGACAAAUACCUAAACUUCUGCUCGGUGUUGAGGGGACAAAAACAACUAGGAGAGGGAAGUGAUCGGAACGGAUACUGCAUGUGUUGCGGAUGAUCGAAGGGUAGAAGACCCGAAAUGGACUUGUGGGGUUUCUUCUUUGGAGAAGGGUCGUUCUAGCUUCUCCAAGCACGACGGCCUACCGAACUAGACUACGACCGGAGGAGUGGAGGAGCAUUCUCCGUUUCGUUCCUGAAGAAUGGGGUACUACAAGUUCGACUACUAGAACUAAACGCCAUAGCAUUAACCUACCACUUAAUAGGAAGACGAAAUCCGAGGAAGCUCCGUUAAUGACUCGAACGGGCACCUUUUUUUAACCGUAACAAAGAACUAAUACUACCUUGAGAAAGCGGAUAACACCUGUUAGGACGUUUACGUCAUUACAGACUGCUCUACGCACGACGACACUCCGUACAUCGUAGUGAAAAGGGCUGACGUUAGUAAUCACCUUCUAGAGCACUGUUCCAUAAACUGAAACACUUUGAUUGGCUCGACAUGAUGCGACCUUCAGUACCUUACCUGUAGUACCCCGGAUAAUCCUUCAGAGUCAGGUUACCAGUGGUACACCUUACACAAUCCAGGUGACUAAGUCUCCCAUUUCUCCAGUUAGAGAAGGUUGGACGUUCACUCAAAAAUGGAUACUAUCGACUCCACAAACUUUUAGAAUCACUCUCAUAUUUCCUGUAGCUUCCACGUUCCUACCUUCUAUUGUUCAAGACACACAGACACGUAAUGGCUUUACAACGUGGUGUACUGAUGCUUUGUCAAGUAGUCGCACAUUGACGACAAGACUUCCUAAUGGGAACAGAAUCCGAAUGGGUACCCUCCUUCCAAGAACUUCAAGCGGGACAGUAACUGACCUUGUUCCCCUUUCGACACCUUAAAAACGAACUUAGCGAACCUGAUUCGCUCUCACUGCUACAAGAAGGGUAGAUACAGCCUCUACUGUUCUGACUGCUUCUACGUAAGUUCCAAGACUUUCGUUUGUUGGUACCGAAACCUUAAGACCAAAGUAGACACGGGUUCCUGUCACUACGGAAGAUAAGGGACUCCCUAGGUAGACUCCACUACCUUAAGGACUCCUGUAACCGUCGUACCUUCCUCCCAAGAUCGACUCGUCUGCCCUUCUUGCCAAAACGACAGGACCUCUUCGGGGGUUAAUAUAUAUGUUCGAUUGGUUUAUUCAACCGACUAUAUUCUCUCAGUCCGGUUUCGAAAAAACUAAACCGUAAAACAUUUACACCGACGGUGAAAAAAACCGUGGUGGAAAACAGAAAACAAUUACCCUGAACAGUCAAAGUAAGAAAAUAACAAUUUUCCAAGAAAAUCAUAUAUAGUUAUAUUCGACUUUUUAAAGGACGACCAUGUAAAGUACCAACUUUGCCGGCAGAUACAAACAGAUAAAUUAAAUAAAGACAGACAUCCUAUGAAUACAUUCGUGGCAGACUUUAACCGGACAACGUUGUAUCGUUUUG
rnacentral:rRNA from 1 species